rnacentral:rRNA from 1 species
CCUACGGGAGGCAGCAGUAGGGAAUCUUCGGCAAUGGGGGCAACCCUGACCGAGCAACGCCGCGUGAGUGAAGAAGGUUUUCGGAUCGUAAAGCUCUGUUGUAAGAGAAGAACGUGUGUGAGAGUGGAAAGUUCACACAGUGACGGUAACUUACCAGAAAGGGACGGCUAACUCCGUGCCAGCAGCCGCGGUAAU